rnacentral:rRNA from 1 species
UACGGGGGGAGCAAGCGUUGUUCGGAUUUACUGGGCGUAAAGGGCGCGUAGGCGGCCACCGCAAGUCACUUGUGAAAUCUCCGGGCUUAACCCGGAAAGGUCAACUGAUACUGCGGGGCUAGAGUGCAGAAGGGGCAACUGGAAUUCUCGGUGUAGCGGUGAAAUGCGUAGAUAUCGAGAGGAACACCUGCGGCGAAGGCGGGUUGCUGGGCUGACACUGACGCUGAUGUGCGAAAGCUAGGGGAGCAAACAGG